CAUAGUUGUAAACUGUAAGGGUACUAUCUCGCAUACUGUUCACAACAAUCUGCUACGAUGCCUGAAUCAUAUCACAUGUUCUUCGUCAUCACAUUAAGUGGUAGUGUGAGAAUAUUGUAGUUACCCAUUUGGCGUAUUGUAAUGGGUCAAAUCACAAUAUGGUGAAUAGGCGGUUAAGUUAGGUUACAAUAAAAAAUCAGCAUUUUUCUCGAACAAAUUUUUCGCAAAACUAUAAGCCAAGUUGUAGCUAUAUUGUUCAUAUUUCGCAGCGAGAACAGCAAAUCAAAUAGUAACAAUGUGGUGGAACUAUUAGUUUAAACGAAAUUGUUUAUUUAUUGUGCAAUAUGGUCAAAUUAACAGUAUUCUAUAUUGUUUGAUUAUGUUUCAAGAAUUAAAGUAAUUGGUUCAGUUUUCUAUUUUCUAGUAAACAGCUUCCACAAGUAAACGAUUUUCUUGGCGAUAUACAAUGAAUUUGAGCCAUUUUUUAGGCUGUUCAAAUUCAAAUCAUUUUAUUUUAUCGUAAAUCGACAUGAAAAUCAUUUACUUUUGGAAAAUUACUAGAAAAUAGCAAAUUG